rnacentral:rRNA from 1 species
GGGCCCGCACAAGCGGUGGAACAUGUGGUUUAAUUCGACGCAACGCGAAGAACCUUACCUGGGUUUGACAUCCCCGGCCGACACCAGAGAUGGUGUUUUCUCUUCGGAGACCGGGUGACAGGUGCUGCAUGGCUGUCGUCAGCUCGUGUCGUGAGAUGUUCGGUUAAGUCCGGCAACGAGCGCAACCCACAUCCCUAGUUGCCAGCAGUUCGGCUGGGCACUCUAUGGAAACUGCCCGUGAUAAGCGGGAGGAAGGUGUGGAUGACGUCAAGUCCUCAUGGCCCUUACGGGUUGGGCUACACACGUGCUACAAUGGUGGUGACAAUGGGUUAA